GCCACGUUGCGCAUCUGGGAUGCGAGCCGGUUGUCGACCGGUCGAGACGGGUUCGAUUCCCGUACGUGGCGCCA
rnacentral:tRNA from 1 species